GGCGAUGGACGGGCGAGCUGCGGGGGGAAGAAGUGGUGUGCAAUCGUGGUCCGGAGUUAGUGGGCGGAAAGAGGGCGUAGGCGGGGCGGUAAGGUUGGUGUGAAAGGCCGGGGCUCAACCUCGGAAUCGCACUGAAUACGGGCGGACUGGAGUGCAGUAGAGGCAAGCGGAAUGCCCAGUGUAGCGGUGAAAUGCGUAGAUAUUGGGAAGAACACCGGUGGCGCAAGCGGCUUGCUGGGCUGUAACUGACGCUGAGGAACGAAAGCUAGGGGAGCAAAUGGGAUUAGAUACCCGAGAGUC
rnacentral:rRNA from 1 species